rnacentral:rRNA from 1 species
AACGAACGCUGGCAGCAGGCUUAACACAUGCAAGUCGAGCGCCCCGCAAGCGGAGCGGCGGACGGGUGAGUAACACGUCGGGACCUGUCCGAUGGUACCACAUAACUCAGGGAAACUGGUGCUACCACCGUAUCUCCCCGCAAGGGGAAAGAUUUAUCGACAUCGGAUGAAACCGCGUCAGAGUAGCAAGUUGGGGUGGUAAAGGCGCACCAAGGCGCCGGUCUGUAGCUGGUCUGAGAGGAUGAUCGGCCACACUGGGACUGAGACACGGACCAGACUCCUACGGGAGGGAGCAGUGGGGAAUAUUUGGCUAUGGGCGCAAGCCUGAUCCAGCGAUGGCGCGUGAGUGAUGAAGGCCUUAGGGUUGUAAAGCUCUUUCGCCGACGAAGAUAAUGACGGUAGUCGGAGAAGAAGCCCCGGCUAACUUCGUGCCAGCCGCCGCAGUAACAC